rnacentral:tRNA from 1 species
GGAGAGAUGCGAGAGUGGUUUAAUCGGCACGCUUGGAAAGCGUGUGUGCUGGCAACGGCACCGAGGGUUCGAAUCCCUCUCUCUCCG